ACUAUGCCUAGCCGUAAAUACCGAUAGAACUAUACAUCAUCUAUCCGCCUGGCAACUACGAGCACCAGCUUGAAACCCAAAGGACUUGGCGGUUCUUUAGAUCCGUCUAGAGGAGCCUGUUCUAUAACCGAUAAACCCCGUUCAACCUCACCCUCCCUAGUCUCUUCCGCCUAUAUACCGCCGUCGUAAGCUUACCCUGUGAAGGCCUAAUAGUUAGCAAAAUUGGCACAGCCCAGAACGUCAGGUCGAGGUGUAGCGUAUGAGAGGGGAAGAAAUGGGCUACAUUCGCUAAUACAGCGAAUACGAACGAUGCACUGAAAACAUGCACCCGAAGGAGGAUUUAGCAGUAAGUGGGAAAUAGAGUGUUCCACUGAAAUUCGGCUCUGAAGUGCGC
rnacentral:rRNA from 1 species